rnacentral:rRNA from 1 species
GACAGAGGGUGCAAACGUUGCUCGGAAUUACUGGGCGUAAAGGGCGUGUAGGCGGGAAGGCAAGUCGGGCGUGAAAGCCCCAGGCUCAACCUGGGAACUGCACUCGAAACUGCCUUUCUUGAGUGCCGGAGAGGAAAGCGGAAUUCCUGGUGUAGAGGUGAAAUUCGUAGAUAUCAGGAGGAACACCAGUGGCGAAGGCGGCUUUCUGGACGGUAAGCUGACGCUGAGACGCGAAAGCGUGGGGAGCAAACAGGAUUAGAA